rnacentral:rRNA from 1 species
GAUGAACGCUAGCGGCAGGCUUAAUACAUGCAAGUCGAGGGGCAGCAGGUCCCGCAGCAAUGCGGGACGCUGGCGACCGGCAAACGGGUGCGGAACACGUACGCAACCUUCCUUCGAGUGGGGAAUAGCCCAGGGAAACUUGGAUUAAUACCCCGUAAUAUUAUGAUGUGGCAUCACAUUAUAAUUAUAGCUACGGCGCUUGAAGAUGGGCGUGCGGCNGAUUAGGUAGUUGGCGGGGUAACGGCCCACCAAGCCUUCGAUCAGUAACUGGUGUGAGAGCACGACCAGUCACACGGGCACUGAGACACGGGCCCGACUCCUACGGGAGGCAGCAGUAAGGAAUAUUGGGCAAUGGACGCAAGUCUGACCCAGCCAUGCCGCGUGGAGGAUGAAGUCCUCUGGAUUGUAAACUUCUUUUAUUUGGGAAGAAAUCCAUUUUUCUAAAAUGGUUGACGGUACCAGAUGAAUAAGCACCGGCUAACUCCGUGCCAG